rnacentral:rRNA from 1 species
GAUGAACGCUAGCUACAGGCUUAACACAUGCAAGUCGCGGGGCAGCAUGGGGGUUGCGUGCGAUCCCCGAUGGCGACCGGCGCACGGGUGAGUAACGCGUAUCCAACCUGCCCUUCACCACGGGAUAACCCGGCGAAAGUCGGACUAAUACCGUAUGUUGUCCAUUGACGGCGUCCGAUUUAGACGAAAGGGUUGGGGGUGGAGGAUGGGGAUGCGUUCGAUUUGCUGGAGGGCGGGUGGACGGGCGAGCGUGGCGACGAUCGGUAGGGGUUCUGAGAGGAAGGUCCCCCACACUGGAACUGAGACACGGUCCAGACUCCUACGGGAGGCAGCAGUGAGGAAGAUUGGUCAAUGGGCGUAAGCCUGAACCAGCCAAGUAGCGUGCAGGAAGACGGCCCUAGGGGUGGUAAACUGCUUUUAUGCGGGGAUAAAGUGGCCCACGUGUGGGUUUUUGCAGGUACCGCAUGAAUAAGGACCGGCUAAUUCCGUG